AGUUGGUCUCUCAGUCUGGAGAAGUGGAAGAGAGAAGCUUGAAUAAGACUUUCUCCUGAGGGUUACCCACCUUUUUCCUGCUUGUGACUGGAAAUCAUCCCCCCCCCCCAACACUUCCCAAUUAAAGAGACUCAGAGAAGAGAAACCUGAGAAAAGACAUUUUUAAUCUUUGUCAGACUUUACUUCAGCUCCUGUUGCCCUGGGUCUGACUGUGGUGAAGGGGCCAAACCCAGGGAAGAGACAUGUUAGAAGUAUUAGAAGGAAUUAGUUGUCUGAAGUUCUCCAUAAACCUACCUUGAGAAUUUUUGAAGGGAUUGAAGUGGCCUCGAGCACCAUUUUCAAUAUGAUAUUUACAUCAUGCACAAAGCAUGCUAAAGUUUUGAAGGCAAGGAGAGUUUCAUUUUUGACUUUCUAUCUUCUGCCCAUAGCGGUGUCUGAUUCAUAGAAAAAAAGAAGAAUAUUCACAAUGAAACAGGACUGGAAAAAAAGAAAAAUAUUCACAAUGAAACAAAACUGUAAUAUAUUAGAGAAGUGUUUGACAUAUAUUGUACUGAUAACAUAUUGUAUAAGGAGCACAUAGAAAAAAAAUCUGUGAGACAAAUAUGUCAUCUUCAAAGAGUCAUCCAUUGAUAAAAUGUCAGCUUGUUGAAAAUAAGGAUUAUUUCUUCUUGGUCCUUUUAUACUAAGCAUCUAGCACUAUGAACUAUACCAAGGAAGAACAUAAUAA